AUUGAACGCUGGCGGCAGGCCUAACACAUGCAAGUCGAACGAGUCGCGGACGGGUGAGUAAUGUCUGGGACCCUGCCUGAUGGAGGGGGUUACCUACUGGAAACGGUAGCUAAUACCGCAUAGCUUCAGCUGGGCCCAGAUGGGAUUUGCUUGUUGGAGGGGUAACGGCCCACCAAGGCGACGAUCCCUAGCUGGUCUGAGAGGAUGACCAGCCACACUGGAACUGAGACACGGUCCAGACUCCUACGGGAGGCAGCAGUGGGGAAUAUUGGACAAUGGGCGCAAGCCUGAUGCAGCCAUGCCGCGGGUAUGAAGAAGGUCUUCGGGUUGUAAAGUACUUUAAGCGGGGAGGCGUUACCCGCAGAAGAAGCACCGGCUAACUCCGUGCCAGCAGCCGCGGUAAUUC
rnacentral:rRNA from 1 species